GUCCAUGCCGUAAACGAUGAUUACUAGGUGUUGGGGAGUUGACCCCUCCAGUGCCGCAGUUAACACAAUAAGUAAUCCACCUGGGGAGUACGACCGCAAGGUUGAACUCAAAGGAAUUGACGGGGCCCGGCACAAGCAGUGGAGUAUGUGGUUUAAUUCGAAGCAACGCGAAGAACCUUACCAGGUCUUGACAUCCGAUGCAUAGCACAGAGAUGUGUGAAAUCCUUCGGGACAUCGAGACAGGUGGUGCAUGGUUGUCGU
rnacentral:rRNA from 1 species